rnacentral:rRNA from 5 species
UUUAUUGGAGAGUUUGAUCCUGGCUCAGGAUGAACGCUGGCGGCGUGCCUAAUACAUGCAAGUCGAGCGAAUGGAUUAAGAGCUUGCUCUUAUGAAGUUAGCGGCGGACGGGUGAGUAACACGUGGGUAACCUGCCCAUAAGACUGGGAUA